rnacentral:rRNA from 1 species
AGCAGCCGCGGUAAUUCCAGCUCCAAUAGCGUAUAUUAAAGUUGUUGCAGUUAAAAAGCUCGUAGUUGAAUUUCGGGGUCUGUCCAUUGGUCGGGCUUCACGGUCCGUACUGGUGUGAUGGGUUCCUACCUUCUGAAUAACCAGCAUGCCAUUUAGUUGGUGCGCCGGGGAAGCAGAGCUAUUACCUUGAAAAAAUUAGAGUGCUUAAAGCAGGCUAGUGCUUGAAUAGAUUAGCAUGGAAUAAUAAAAUAGGACGGCAUGGUUCUAUUUUGUUGGUUUCUAGGAUCACCGUAAUGAUUAAUAGGGAUAGUUGGGGGCAUUAGUAUUCAAUUGUCAGAGGUGAAAUUCUUGGAUUUAUUGAAGACUAACUUCUGCGAAAGCAUUUGCCAAGGAUGUUUUCAUUAAUCAAGGACGAAAGUUAGGGGAUCGAAGACGAUCAGAUACCGUCGUAGUCUUAACCAUAAACUAUGCCGACUAGGGAUCGGAUGAUGUUAAUUUUUUAAUGUA